rnacentral:rRNA from 1 species
GCGCAUGAAUGGAUUAACGAGAUUCCCACUGUCCCUAUCUACUAUCUAGUGAACCCACAGGCAGGGGAACGGGCCUGCAAGAAACAGCGGGGAAAGAAGACCCUGUUGAGCUUGACUCUAGUCUGAUUUUGUAGAGAGACAUGAGAGGUGUAGCAUAAGUGGGAGUGAGCAAUCACGCCGUUGAAAUACCACUACUUUCAUCGUUUCUUUACUUACUCGGUGAGACGGGGACGGACCCGCGAGGGUCUUCCUUCUAGCUCUAAGCCCCGGUACUUCGCGUCCGGGGCGACCCGCUCCGAGGACAUUAUCAGGCGGGGAGUUUGACUGGGGCGGUACAUCUGUCAAACGAUAACGCAGGUGUCCUAAGGCCAGCUCAGCGAGGACAGAAACCUCGCGUAGAGCAAAAGGGCAAAUGCUGGCUUGAUCCUGAUUUUCAGUACGAAUACGGACCGCGAAAGCGUGGCCUAUCGAUCCUUUUGACUUGAGGAGUUUUCAGCAAGAGGUGUCAGAAAAGUUACCACAGGGAUAACUGGCUUUGUGGCGGCCAAGCGUUCAUAGC